rnacentral:rRNA from 1 species
GAUGAACGCUGGCGGCGUGCCUAAUACAUGCAAGUCGAGCGAACAGAUGAGGAGCUUGCUCCUCUGACGUUAGCGGCGGACGGGUGAGUAACACGUGGAUAACCUACCUAUAAGACUGGGAUAACUUCGGGAAACCGGAGCUAAUACCGGAUAAUAUAUUGAACCGCAUGGUUCAAUAGUGAAAGACGGUUUUGCUGUCACUUAUAGAUGGAUCCGCGCCGCAUUAGCUAGUUGGUAAGGUAACGGCUUACCAAGGCAACGAUGCGUAGCCGACCUGAGAGGGUGAUCGGCCACACUGGAACGGAGACGCGGUCCAGACUCCUACGGGAGGCAGCAGUAGGGAAUCUUCGGCAAUGGGCGAAAGCCUGGCGGAGCAACGCCGCGUGAGUGAUGAAGGUCUUCGGAUCGUAAAACUCUGUUAUUAGGGAAGAACAAAUGUGUAAGUAACUAUGCACGUCUUGACGGUACCUAAUCAGAAAGCCACGGCUAACUACGUG